GGAUUGAACACAUAUACUAAAACUGGAAUGAUAAAGAGAAGAUUAACAUGGCCCUUGUGCAAGGAUGACACACAAAUUCAUGAAGCGUUCCAUAUUUUU
ensembl:snRNA U6 U6 spliceosomal RNA